rfam:Ipomoea nil DNA, scaffold: scaffold1317, cultivar: Tokyo-kokei standard.
UGGGAUGUAGCUCAUAUGGUAGAGCGCUCGCUUCGCAUGCGAGAGGUACGGGUAUCAAUAACCCGCAUCUCCA